UAUCGAAUAAAAUUUAAUAUUCAAGGUAUUGCAAUAUAUUUAAGCAGUGGAAAAGAAAAAUAAUGUAAUUAAUUUAGUUCAUUUACAGUAGUUGUCAUGGAGGUUCCACCUUUGCAUCUGCGACCUGCCUCCCUAAAGCUAUUAUUGCUAUAGGCCGAGCAUAGGUCCUCUUACAUAUGGGAGGGGAAGUUAUUGGCCCAGACUAUACGUUCUAGGAGAAUAGACGAUAUGUGGGACUUUCUUAAGGAUCGCCAGCUCCAUCCUCGUAUAGUCAGACGCCUGCAGGAUAUGGGUUUUAUAGGAUUAUUGAGAUCGGCUGGCUGCAACUAGAUUGGUCGUUGAUCACGACUUUGACAGAGCGGUAGCGACCAAAGAUGCACACAUUCCAUUUGCCCAUUGGCGAGGCCACUAUCACGCUGCAGAAUGUGGAGGUUCUGUAUGGAUUGCCGGUUGAUGGACUUCUUGUUGCUUUGGUGCAAGGCAUGAGAGAUUAUACGGGAGAUCAGUACCUGGAGACAUUGCAGCGGCUCACCGAUUUCCGACCAAAGGAUGAGGGUGUAUUGGUUGGGGCUAGUCGUCUUGCAUUUGGAGGCCAUGUUGAUUGAGGCUAGUCGUCUUGCAUUUGGAGGUCAUGCAUGAUGACAUUACUCAUGAUACACCGGAUGUUCAUAUUAACCGAUACACGAGGUCGUUAUUGUUGCUUAUGUUUGAAGGCGUAUUGUUCCCGAGCACUUCAGGAAACUUAGUCAGCUUGAGAUUUCUUCAUCAUCUUGAGCGGCUAGUUGAUUUACAUCAGUACAACUGGGGGCUGCUGUUCUUGGUUACUUGUACCGGCAGAUGUGCCAGGCAUGCAUGGGCAUCCAGUGAGACGUUGCAAGAUUUAUGCCGCUACUGCAGGUUUGGGCCUAGAAGCGGUUCUUGCAGUUUCAACCACGUCUACCACCAAUUGCCCAGGAUGCACUACCUCCGUCGUUUCUCCCUUUGGCUAGGUGGUGGGUUGAUAGGCAGGGAUACGGACGUGAGUACGAGGCUCGACAUAAUCUCCCCUAUUGUAGAGAUUUGUUGGAUUUGCUGGAAGAUGCGCAAAUAAUUCUAUACUUAAGUUUACUUGGCCUGGAUUUAUAUGUGUUGCGUGUACUCAUGGUUCCUAUUUUUACGUAAUAGUUCAUUUAGAGUCCAUACAGUGACGAGCUAAUUACGGGUUUACCCAAUUAUUGCUCGACCGGGCGACUUAUCUGGAUCGCUUCCGAUAUUGUUGAGCAUCAUGCCACCGAGCAAGUCCUUCGCCAGUUUGGUCGACCGCAGCUUGUACCUCCACCGCCCGCUUGGGUUAGGACACAUUACCAGCGGGAUGAUCGUUUGAGAGCUGACUAGGCAUAAGAGGCAUAACUAAAGGAGCAGAUCGAGACUUGGUACCAGCGGCGUGACCUGAUUCUGUCACCCCCUCCACCCGAUCUUAUGGAUGGUGAGCAUGCGUAUAUGGGCUGGUACCGCAACAUUACCCGGUUUAUCAUCGGGAAUCCCAUUCAUCACGUUGGCAGUCGGUUCAUUCCAUACGCCGAAAGGCAUGAGGCGCUGGUAUGUUAUUUGGUAUACUUAGUUAUAAUGUUAACAUUACUGUUUCACAAUUAAUAUUUUAUAUGUUGUGUAAGUUAUUGGACUACAUAUAUUCCACAAGUUGGGACUGCAGAUGCAGCAACAUACCGGCGAGGGAGCGACCGCUUUGCACGACUAUGGCCAGUAGGUUACAGAUUUGGCUGCCUAGACAUUGCAGCGAGCCCGUGAUAAUGAGCGCUUAGGACACGAGGCUGAUUAUAUGGCGCCAGAGCAGUACCAUCGUGGGCCAGCAAUGCAGCCUGAAUGUGAUCGACGUGGUAAAGGUGCGCCGCGAGGCGGGGGUGUGCCAUGAGGUAGGGGUGUCCCGCGAGGUAGGGUGUCCCACGAGGUCAUGGGGUCCGCGAGGAGGUGUUCCCCAGCAAGGAGGCGUUGAGGCACCUGUUGAGGAUGUUGGAGUUGAUCAGCCGUGUGACCAUCCUGAUCCUAGUGAUAUCCCGUCAUUUAGUCCGGGGCUUACUCUAGGGACUUCGCAGGUGACCCCAUCAGCUCCAUUGUCAAUUGCGGGCACGGCCUUUACCUCACAUUAUUUGUCCAGUACGAAAUGUAGAUAUUGGACGCCGACUUAGUUAUGGCUCACCAUUGAGGGAUGCUGAGGAUCUUCCACAGGAUUUGCCAUCAUCCUCGCCCAUCGCGGAGGCCACUAGGUGCGUCACUCACAUGCCUGAGACGGAUGAGUAUAUUUAGGAGCCCACUGUGACCAUGGUCACUACUGCACCGACGACCCCUUCUACCGACAUGCUAGCCUUACUGACGAUCAUGUUGUAGCUCAUCCUCCGAUAAAGAGGCGUCAUGAUAAGGAUGAUCCUGAUAGUGUAGUUAGGCGGCAUGGGAUGCGCCUGAGGCCAGUGGCUGGUUUAAAGCAUAAAGGUUGUGGGACACAUUGAUUUUUUGAUUUUAUGUACAUAUGACAAUCAGUAAAUAAUAACAACUUUAUCUAUGGUUUAGCAUUA